rnacentral:rRNA from 1 species
CUCAGAUUGAACGCUGGCGGCAUGCCUUACACAUGCAAGUCGAACGGCAGCGCGGGAGCAAUCCUGGCGGCGAGUGGCGAACGGGUGAGUAAUACAUCGGAACGUGCCCAAUCGUGGGGGAUAACGCAGCGAAAGCUGUGCUAAUACCGCAUACGAUCUACGGAUGAAAGCAGGGGAUCGCAAGACCUUGCGCGAAUGGAGCGGCCGAUGGCAGAUUAGGUAGUUGGUGAGGUAAAGGCUCACCAAGCCUUCGAUCUGUAGCUGGUCUGAGAGGACGACCAGCCACACUGGGACUGAGACACGGCCCAGACUCCUACGGGAGGCAGCAGUGGGGAAUUUUGGACAAUGGGCGAAAGCCUGAUCCAGCCAUGCCGCGUGCAGGAUGAAGGCCUUCGGGUUGUAAACUGCUUUUGUACGGAACGAAACGGCCUUUUCUAAUAAAGAGGGCU